rnacentral:rRNA from 1 species
AGUCUGGUGCCAGCAGCCGCGGUAAUUCCAGCUCUAAUAGCGUAUAUUAAAGUUGUUGCAGUUAAAAAGNUCGUAGUCGGAUGUCGGGCUCGGGCAGGCUGUCGGCUUCGGUCGGACGGCAGGCUCGGGUCUUUCUGCCUGAGGAUCCCGUGCACUUUAUUGUGGGCGGGGGACGCAGGCCGUUUACUUUGAAAAAAUUAGAGUGUUCAAAGCAGGCCUACGCUUGAAUACAUUAGCAUGGAAUAAUGGAAUAGGACUUUGGUGCUAUUUUGUUGGUUUAUGGGACCGAAGUAAUGAUUAACAGGGACAGUUGGGGCCGUUUAUAUUUCGUUGUCAGAGGUGAAAUUCUUGGAUUUACGAAAGAUAAACUUCUGCGAAAGCAUUCGGCAAGGAUGUUUUCAUUGAUCAAGAACGAAAGUUAGGGGAUCGAAGACGAUCAGAUACCGUCGUAGUCUUAACCAUAAACUAUGCCGACUAGGGAUCAGUGGAUGUCAAUUUGCGACUCCAUUGGCACCUUGUGAGAAAUCAAAGUUUUUGGGUUCCGGGGGGAGUAUGGUCGCAAGGCUGAAACUUAAAGGAAUUGACGGAAGGGCACCACCAGGAGUGGAGCCUGCGGCUUAAUUUGACUCAACACGGGGAAACUUACCAGGUCCAGACAUAGUAAGGAUUGACAGAUUGAAAGCUCUUUCUUGAUUCUAUGGGU